CAGAGACAGGGUCUUGUUGUGUUGCCCAGGCUGGACUCAAACUCCUGGGUUCAAAUGAUUCUUCUGCCUCAGUCUCCCGAGUAGCUGAGACUACAGCCAGGUACUAUUCUAGAUUGUCUUGUGAUAUUUACAAUCUAGGAGAAGGCAGGAGAGAGAACUAAGAACAGAGAGCAUGUUCUGAGAUGUCUGCUGUGUUUGCAGACUUAGAUUUUUGGCUGGACUAUUGGCUUGGGAUAGAUGAAAAUCAUUCCUUGUAUCCCCUGAUCUUAAAGUCAAGACUGAACCAGCCUCCAGAUGCAAGCCUUCAUGGGGCUUCAGAUACCAUGAGGAAUGGGCGUCCCUGCAAUAUUGUCAUGGCUGUCAAAAGUGUUAUUGGAGCUGGAAACUCCUGGAGGGCAGAGCCAUGCCUGCCAUUUUCAUCAUUGCAUUACCACCACCCAGCACAGUGCCUGGUACAAAAGAGUUGCUCAAUAAAUAAAUCAGGAUGAAUGGACAAAUACACGGAUAGGCACUUUGAACUACAGAUGAGCUUAAAUACUUUGUGUUUUUCUUAGUCAAACAUGUGCAAUUAAGCAUGUGAUAAAUUAUAUGAUGACCACAC
rnacentral:lncRNA from 10 species